rnacentral:miRNA from 1 species
GCAGGACGUGAAGAGCGAGUCC